GAUGAACGCUGGCGGCGGGCCUAAUACAUGCAAGUCGAACGGACAGACGAGGAGCGCGUUCCUCUGACGGUGGCGGGGGGCGGGUGGGUGAGGCAUACAUCAGCAACCUAUUAUUCGGGGGGGACUACGGGGGGAAGGAUCUGAUAACACCGAAUAUGAUCAACCGGAGGGAGCAAUGGUGAUAGACGGCUUGGCUGACUCAUAUAGACGAAUCCGUGUCGGAUUAGCUAGUUGGUAAGGUAACGGCCUACCAAGGCGACGAUGCGUAGCUGACCUGAGAGGAUGAUCGGCCACACUGGAACUGAGACACGGUCCAGACUCCUACGGGAGGCAGCAGUGGGGAAUAUUGGACAAUGGGCGCAAGCCUGAUCCAGCCAUACCGCGUGGGUGAAGAAGGCCUUCGGGUUGUAAAGCCCUUUUGUUGGGAAAGAAAAGCAGCAGGUUAAUACCCCGCUGUUCUGACGGUACCCAAAGAAUAAGCACCGGCUAACUUCGUG
rnacentral:rRNA from 1 species